AUACGGAAGGUCCGGGCGUUAUCCGGAUUUAUUGGGUUUAAAGGGAGCGCAGGCGGAGAUGCAAGCGUGACGUCAAAUUUCGGGGCUCAACCCCGUCUCGCGUCGCGAACUGCGUCCCUUGGUUGCGGGAAGGGGAGGCGGAACUCGUGGUGUAGCGGUGAAAUGCAUAGAUAUCACGAAGAACUCCGAUCGCGAAGGCAGCCUUCCGGCCCGUCAAUGACGCUCAUGCUCGAAGGUGCGGGUAUCAAACAGGAUUAGAUACCCUGGUAGUCCGCACAGUAAACGAUGGACACCCGCGGUUUGGCCUGUAUGGCUGAGCCGCCAAGCGAAAGCGUUAAGUGUCCCACCUGGGGAGUACGCCGGCAACGGUGAAACUCAAAGGAAUUGACGGGG
rnacentral:rRNA from 1 species